rnacentral:rRNA from 1 species
AGUAGUUUGACUCCUGGCUACAGGACGAACGCUGGCGGCGCGCCUAACACAUGCAAGUCGAACGGAGCUUGAAGGAGCUUGCUUUUUUAAGCUUAGUGGCGGACGGGUGAGUAACACGUGAGCAACCUGCCUUUCAGAGGGGGAUAACGUUUGGAAACGAACGCUAAUACCGCAUAACAUUGCUUUAAGGCAUCUUAAGGCAAUCAAAGGAGCAAUCCGCUGAAAGAUGGGCUCGCGUCCGAUUAGAUAGUUGGCGAGGGUAACGGCCCACCAAGUCGACGAUCGGUAGCCGGACUGAGAGGUUGAACGGCCACAUUGGGACUGAGACACGGCCCAGACUCCUACGGGAGGCAGCAGUGGGGAAUAUUGCACAAUGGGGGAAACCCUGAUGCAGCGACGCCGCGUGAGGGAAGAAGGUUUUCGGAUUGUAAACCUCUGUCUUUGGUGACGAAAGAUGACGGUAGCCAAAGAGGAAGCUACGGCUAACUACGUG